AGAGUUUGAUCCUGGCUCAGGAUGAACGCCGGCGGUGUGCCUAAUACAUGCAAGUCGAACGCGUUGGCCCAACUGAUUGAACGUGCUUGCACGGACUUGACGUUGGUUUACCAGCGAGUGGCGGACGGGUGAGUAACACGUAGGUAACCUGCCCCAAAGCGGGGGAUAACAUUUGGAAACAGAUGCUAAUACCGCAUAACAAUUUGAAUCGCAUGAUUCAAAUUUAAAAGAUGGCUUCGGCUAUCACUUUGGGAUGGACCUGCGGCGCAUUAGCUUGUUGGUAGGGUAACGGCCUACCAAGGCUGUGAUGCGUAGCCGAGUUGAGAGACUGAUCGGCCACAAUGGAACUGAGACACGGUCCAUACUCCUACGGGAGGCAGCAGUAGGGAAUCUUCCACAAUGGGCGCAAGCCUGAUGGAGCAACACCGCGUGAGUGAAGAAGGGUUUCGGCUCGUAAAGCUCUGUUGUUAGAGAAGAACGUGCGUGAGAGCAACUGUUCACGCAGUGACGGUAUCUAACCAGAAAGUCACGGCUAACUACGUGCCAGCAGCCGCGGUAAUACGUAGGUGGCAAGCGUUAUCCGGAUUUAUUGGGCGUAAAGCGAGCGCAGGCGGUUUGAUAAGUCUGAUGUGAAAGCCUUUGGCUUAACCAAAGAAGUGCAUCGGAAACUGUCAGACUUGAGUGCAGAAGAGGACAGUGGAACUCCAUGUGUAGCGGUGGAAUGCGUAGAUAUAUGGAAGAACACCAGUGGCGAAGGCGGCUGUCUGGUCUGCAACUGACGCUGAGGCUCGAAAGCAUGGGUAGCGAACAGGAUUAGAUACCCUGGUAGUCCAUGCCGUAAACGAUGAGUGCUAGGUGUUGGAGGGUUUCCGCCCUUCAGUGCCGCAGCU
rnacentral:rRNA from 1 species